rnacentral:rRNA from 1 species
UACGUAGGGGGCUAGCGUUGUCCGGAAUCAUUGGGCGUAAAGCGCGUGUAGGCGGCCCGGUAAGUCCGCUGUGAAAGUCGGGGGCUCAACCCUCGGAUGCCGGUGGAUACUGUCGGGCUAGAGUGCGGAAGAGGCGAGUGGAAUUCCUGGUGUAGCGGUGAAAUGCGCAGAUAUCAGGAGGAACACCGGUGGCGAAGGCGGUUCUCUGGGCCUUACCUGACGCUGAGGAGCGAAAGCAUGGGGAGCAAACAGG